rnacentral:rRNA from 1 species
UACAGAGGGCGCGAGCGUUGUCCGGAAUCACUGGGCGUAAAGGGCGCGUAGGUGGCGGCAUAAGGCCGCGGUGAAAGUUCGGGGCUCAACCCUGAAUCGGCCGCGGCGACUGUGUCGCUUGGGCACUGUAGAGGCAGAUGGAAUUCCUGGUGUAGCAGUGAAAUGCGUAGAUAUCAGGAGGAACACCCGUGGCGAAGGCGGCUGCCUGGGGCAUCACUGACACUGAGAAGCGAAAGCUAGGGGAGCGAACGGG